rnacentral:rRNA from 1 species
CAAGUACUGACGAAGGAAAGAUAGAAAAGAAAACUAAACCGUGUUGAAAAUUAAUUUUGAAAUUGAACACUUAAAAUCAAUCAAAGUUUUUAUAUAAGAAUAAUGAUGUACCUUUUGUAUAAUGGGGUCAGUGAGUUAAUUGAUUUAGCAAGCUUAAAUUGUAAAAUGUAGGCGUAGCGAAAGCGAGUUGUAAAAAAGCGUGAGUUAAAAUUAAUUAAACCCGAAACUAAGUGAUCUAACCAUGAACAGGUUGAAAAAAUAGUAACAUAUUUUGGAAGACCGAACCCGUGUCUGUUGCAAAAGAUUGGGAUGAUUUGUGGUUAGGGGUGAAAAGGCUAAUCAAACUUAGAUAUAGCUGGUUUUCUGCGAAAUUUAUUUAAGUAAAGCGUCAUGUUUAUUAAAUUAGGGGGUAGAGCACUGGUUGAAUGAUGGGGAU